rnacentral:rRNA from 1 species
UACGUAGGGGGCUAGCGUUGUCCGGAAUCAUUGGGCGUAAAGCGCGUGUAGGCGGUCCGGUAAGUCCGCUGUGAAAGUCGGGGGCUCAACCCUCGGAUGCCGGUGGAUACUGUCGGGCUUGAGUACGGAAGAGGCGAGUGGAAUUCCUGGUGUAGCGGUGAAAUGCGCAGAUAUCAGGAGGAACACCAAUUGCGAAGGCAGCUCGCUGGGACGUUACUGACGCUGAGGUGCGAAAGCGUGGGGAGCAAACAGG